UACAGAGGUCUCAAGCGUUGUUCGGAUUCAUUGGGCGUAAAGGGUGCGUAGGCGGCGCGGUAAGUCGGGGUGUGAAAUUUCGAGGCUUAACUUCGAAACUGCAUUCGAUACUGCCGUGCUCGAGGACUGGAGAGGAGACUGGAAUUUACGGUGUAGCGGUGAAAUGCGUAGAUAUCGUAAGGAAGACCAGUGGCGAAGGCGGGGUCUCUGGACAGUUCCUGACGCUGAGGCACGAAGGCCAGGGGGAGCAAACGGG
rnacentral:rRNA from 1 species